GUUGAACGCUGGCGGCAGGCCUAACACAUGCAAGUCGAACGAGUGGCGGAGGGGUGAGUAAUGUCUGGGGAACUGCCCGAUGGAGGGGGAUAAAUACUGGAAACGGUAGCUAAUACCGCAUACCAUCGGAGGUGCCCAGAUGGGAUUAGUUAGUGGGUGGGGGAAAGGCUCACCUAGGCGACGAUCCCUAGCUGGUCUGUGAGGAUGACCAGCCACACUGGAACUGAGACACGGUCCAGACUCCUACGGGAGGCAGCAGUGGGUAAUAUUGCACAAUGGGCGCAAUCCUGAUGCAGCCAUGCCGCGUGUAUGAAGAAGGCCUUCGGGUUGUAAAGUACUUUCAGCGAGGAGGCGUUACUCACAGAAGAAGCACCGGCUAACUCCGUGCCAGCAGCCGCGGUAAUUC
rnacentral:rRNA from 1 species